rnacentral:rRNA from 1 species
UACGUAGGGUGCAAGCGUUAAUCGGAAUUACUGGGCGUAAAGCGUGCGCAGGCGGUUAUGUAAGACAGAUGUGAAAUGCCCGGGCUUAACCUGGGAACUGCAUUUGUGACUGCAUGGCUAGAGUUUGGCAGAGGGGGGUAGAAUUCCUGGUGUAGAGGUGAAAUUCGUAGAUAUUAGGAAGAACACCAGUGGCGAAGGCGGCUCACUGGCCCGGUACUGACGCUGAGGCGCGAAAGCGUGGGGAGCAAACAGG